rnacentral:rRNA from 1 species
UACGGAGGGUGCAAGCGUUAAUCGGAAUUACUGGGCGUAAAGCGCACGCAGGUGGCUGAGUAAGUCGAUUGUGAAAGCCCUGGGCUUAACCUGGGAAUUGCAGUCGAUACUGCUCGGCUAGAGUAUGGGAGAGGGUAGUGGAAUUCCCGGUGUAGCGGUGAAAUGCGUAGAUAUCUGCAGGAACACCCGUGGCGAAAGCGGCGCGCUGGACCACUACUGACGCUGAGGAACGAAAGCUAGGGGAGCAAACAGG